rnacentral:rRNA from 1 species
CACACCGCCCGUCACAUCACGAAAGUGGAUUGUACUAGAAGUCCGCACACCAACCCGCAAGGGGGGUAGCGGCCCAAGGUAUGAUUCAUGAUUGGGGUG